ensembl:snRNA U6 U6 spliceosomal RNA
AUGCUUACUUCAGCAGCACAUAUAGUAAGACUGGAAAGAUACAGAGAAGAUUAGUAUGGCCCCUACACAAGGAUGACACACAAAUUCAUGAAGAAUUUAAUAUUUAA